GACGUAGGGCGCGAGCGUUGUCCGGAUUGACUGGGCGUAAAGCGCACGCAGGCGGCUGCGCGCGUGGGGUGUGAAAUCUGGCCGCUUAACGGCCAGGCGCCAUCCCAUACGGCGCGGCUUGAGCCUUGCAGAGGGCGGUGGAAUUGCCGGUGUAGUGGUGAAAUGCGUAGAGAUCGGCAGGAACACCCAGGGGGAAACCAGCCGCCUGGGCAAGCGCUGACGCUGAGGUGCGAGAGCGUGGGGAGCGAACCGG
rnacentral:rRNA from 1 species